rnacentral:rRNA from 1 species
CCUACGGGUGGCAGCAGUAAGGAAUAUUGGUCAAUGGAGGAAACUCUGAACCAGCCAUCCCGCGUGAAGGAUGAAGGGGCUCUGCCUUGUAAACUUCUUUUGUCUGGGGCGAAAAAGCUCGAUUUAUCGAGAACUGACGGUACCAGAAGAAUAAGCACCGGCUAACUCCGUGCCAGCAGCCGCGGUAAUACGGAGGGUGCAGGCGUCAUCCGGAAUCAAGGGGGUGAAGGGGUGUUAGUACGGCUUUGGUGAAAGGCUGGGGCUUAACCAUGGAAUUGCCAUUGAUACUGCAGAGCUUGAAUGAGGUUGAGGUUGGCGGAAUGUGACAUGUAGCGGUGAAAUGCUUAGAUAUGUCAUGGAACACCGAUUGCGAAGGCAGCUGACUGGACCUAUAUUGACGCUGAGGCACGAAAGCGUGGGGAGCGAACAGGAUUAGAUACCCUUGUAGUC